rnacentral:rRNA from 1 species
AUUGAACGCUGGCGGCAGGCUUAACACAUGCAAGUCGAGCGGGGUGAUGGUGCUUGCACUAUCACUUAGCGGCGGACGGGUGAGUAAUGCUUAGGAAUCUGCCUAUUAGUGGGGGACAACAUCUCGAAAGGGAUGCUAACACCGCAUACGUCCUACGGGAGAAAGCAGGGGAUCACUUGUGACCUUGCGCUAAUAGAUGAGCCUAAGUCGGAUUAGCUAGUUGGUGGGGUAAAGGCCUACCAAGGCGACGAUCUGUAGCGGGUCUGAGAGGAUGAUCCGCCACACUGGGACUGAGACACGGCCCAGACUCCUACGGGAGGCAGCAGUGGGGAAUAUUGGACAAUGGGGGGAACCCUGAUCCAGCCAUGCCGCGUGUGUGAGGAAGGCCUUAUGGUUGUAAAGCACUUUAAGCGAGGAGGAGGCUCUUUUGGUUAAUACCCAAGAUGAGUGGACGUUACUCGCAGAAUAAGCACCGGCUAACACUGUGCCAGCCGCCGCCGUAA